rnacentral:piRNA from 1 species
UGGAGCCUUAGCUUAUCACUUGAGAUUCC